rnacentral:rRNA from 1 species
GAUGAACGCUAGCGGCAGGCUUAAUACAUGCAAGUCGUGGGGCAGCAUGAGUAGCAAUACUUGAUGGCGACCGGCAAGCGGGUGAGGAACACGUACACAACCUUCCUUCAAGCGGGGAAUAGCCCAGAGAAAUUUGGAUUAAUACCCCAUAAUAUAUUUGAUAAGGCAUCUUAUUAAUAUUAAAGCUUCGGCACUUGAUGAUGGGUGUGCGGCUGAUUAGAUAGUUGGCGGGGUAACGGCCCACCAAGUCUACGAUCAGUAGCUGAUGUGAGAGCAUGAUCAGCCACACGGGCACUGAGACACGGGCCCGACUCCUACGGGAGGCAGCAGUAAGGAAUAUUGGACAAUGGACGAAAGUCUGAUCCAGCCAUGCCGCGUGAAAGGAUUAAAGGUCCUCUGGAUUGUAAACUUCUUUAUAUGGGACGAAAAAGGACAUUCUUGUUCACUUGACGGUACCAUAUGAAUAAGCACCGGCUAACUCCGUGCCAG